rnacentral:rRNA from 1 species
GAUGAACGCUGGCGGCGUGCCUAAUACAUGCAAGUCGAGCGAACAGACGAGGAGCUUGCUCCUCUGACGUUAGCGGCGGACGGGUGAGUAACACGUGGAUAACCUACCUAUAAGACUGGGAUAACUUCGGGAAGCCGGAGCUAAUACCGGAUAAUAUAUUGAACCGCAUGGUUCAAUAGUGAAAGACGGUUUUGCUGUCACUUAUAGAUGGAUCCGCGCCGCAUUAGCUAGUUGGUAAGGUAACGGCUUACCAAGGCAACGAUGCGUAGCCGACCUGAGAGGGUGAUCGGCCACACUGGAACUGAGACACGGUCCAGACGCCUACGGGAGGCAGCAGUAGGGAAUCUUCCGCAAUGGGCGAAAGCCUGACGGAGCAACGCCGCGUGAGUGAUGAAGGUCUUCGGAUCGUAAAACUGUGUUAUUAGGGAAGAACAAAUGUGUAAGUAACUAUGCACGUCUUGACGGUACCUAAUCAGAAAGCCACGGCUAACUACGUG